AGUGAACGCUGGCGGUAGGCCUAACACAUGCAAGUCGAACGGCAGCACAGUAAGAGCUUGCUCUUACGGGUGGCGAGUGGCGGACGGGUGAGGAAUACAUCGGAAUCUACUUUUUCGUGGGGGAUAACGUAGGGAAACUUACGCUAAUACCUCAUACGACCUACGGGUGAAUGCAGGGGAUCUUCGGACCUUGCGCGAUUGAAUGAGCCGAUGUCGGAUUAGCUAGUUGGCGGGGUAAAGGCCCACCAAGGCGACGAUCCGUAGCUGGUCUGAGAGGAUGAUCAGCCACACUGGAACUGAGACACGGUCCAGACUCCUACGGGAGGCAGCAGUGGGGAAUAUUGGACAAUGGGCGCAAGCCUGAUCCAGCCAUACCGCGUGGGUGAAGAAGGCCUUCGGGUUGUAAAGCCCUUUUGUUGGGAAAGAAAAGCAGCAGGUGAAUACCCCGCUGUUCUGACGGUACCCAAAGAAUAAGCACCGGCUAACUUCGUG
rnacentral:rRNA from 1 species